CUUAUACUCCCUCCGUACAAAAAUACUUGUCAUAAGAAUAGAUGUAGCUAGUUGCAUUUUAGUUUUAGAUACGUUCAUUUUUAGUCAUUUAUGCGACAAGUAAUUUUGGACGGAGGAAAUAUUUA
rnacentral:pre_miRNA from 2 species